GGUCUGUGUUUGCUCAAUGGCUUUGGUGGGAGAAAUGGAUUUAACAGCAUAUAUUCAUGUCUUUUUUCAGAGUGGGCUUUCUCAGUCACAUCUUUUCUCAGAGCUGACUGGCAGCUAUCACCUUGGUAGGGGGUGGGGUUGAAGGAGGAGGGACUAGGGCUAGAACCAGGUUGAAGUGUUGCUUCCCCUCUGCUCAGUGGCUAUAACUGCUCUAUCAGAGGAGGGGUCAGGUGCCAAGCUACAGCAGAAGCUCUCAGGGUUGGGUGCCAGCUGGCUAAGUUCCCUUUCAAUGUGUGCUUUUGCCCUUCCUAGCACUGGCACCCUCAGUCCAAGAGAUGAGCUGUGUUAGAACAAGAGAUGUGGUAGGGUAGUUGGCAAGGACUGAAAUGCAGCGUGUGGUAUUUUUGCCACUGUCUGAUCCACUCUGCCUCUGAUGUGCUGCCUGUGCAAUUGCAAGUAAUGGCUGCCUCCUCAGCAUCUCAGUCAAGCUUUUUCUCUGGUCAUGGCCACCCAUGCUCAGUACGGAGUUUUACAUGAGGCAAACAAUGCUUAGUCUUUGUUCAGCUCAGGUUGGGGUGGGUGCCAGGACAGUCAAAGGAAACAGGUCAGCCAGCUACAGGGUUCAAUCCACCAUUUCAGCCCUGCUUUGAGAGUAAGCAGGUGCUUGUGUAUUACUUACAGGAAGAGUUUAGGCUUCCCACAGCCCUCCAACCAGAACUCCAUAAAACGUGAGGGUGAUGAAUGGAUAAAGCAGGAAGCCCCAGGUCAAAACAAGAAAGCACGUUUCUUACUGUGGGUGUUAGAAGAAAGAAGAAAUCAUCUCUAUUUUCAGUUCUCCAUGAAUGGGAAGUCAAACUAGAAAGAAAAGCAUUAAUUAAGCAUUGGUAUUUUUAAGACCACAAUUUUAGUUACUUCUCUCCUUUAUUAAAUGAAAGAAAAUAUACGUGGAAAAAUUAAA